rnacentral:rRNA from 1 species
GAUGAACGCUGGCGGCGUGCCUAAUACAUGCAAGUCGAGCGAACGGACGAGAAGCUUGCUUCUCUGAUGUUAGCGGCGGACGGGUGAGUAACACGUGGAUAACCUACCUAUAAGACUGGGAUAACUUCGGGAAACCGGAGCUAAUACCGGAUGAUAUUUUGAACCGCAUGGUUCAAAAGUGAAAGACGGUCUUGCUGUCACUUAUAGAUGGAUCCGCGCUGCAUUAGCUGGUUGGUAAGGUAACGGCUUACCAAGGCAACGAUGCAUAGCCGACCUGAGAGGGUGAUCGGCCACACUGGAACUGAGACGCGGUCCAGACUCCUACGGGAGGCAGCAGUAGGGAAUCUUCCGCAAUGGGCGAAAGCCUGACGGAGCAACGCCGCGUGAGUGAUGAAGGUCUUCGGAUCGUAAAACUCUGUUAUUAGGGAAGAACAUAUGUGUAAGUAACUGUGCACAUCUUGACGGUACCUAAUCAGAAAGCCACGGCUAACUACGUG